rnacentral:lncRNA from 10 species
CUCGAACUCCUGACCUUGUGAUCUGCCCGCCUCUGCCUCCCAAAGUGCUGGGAUUACAGGCGUGAGCCACCACACCUGGCCUUUUUUCUUUUUUCAGACCGAGUCUCGGUCUGUCACCCAGGCUGGAGUGCAGUGGCACCAUCUCAGCUCACAGCAACCUCUGCCUCCUGGGCUCAAGCGAUUCUCCUGCCUCAGCCUCUCGAAUAGCUGAGACUACAGGCACAUGCCACCACGCCCGGCUAGCUUUGUGUUUUUAGUAGAGACGGGGUUUCACCAUGUUGGCCAGGCUGGUCUGGAACUCUUGACCUCAUGUGAUCCGCCCAUCUCGGCCUCCCAAAAUGUUGGGAUUACAGGCUGGCCUGUAGUCACCGAGUCUGGCCCCCCACCACCCCUGUUUGUUUUUUUGAGACAAAGUCUGGCUCUGUCACUCAGGCUGGAGUGCAGUGGCACAAUCUCACCUCACAGCAACCUCUGCCUCCUGGGUUCAAGCAACUCUCCUGCCUCAGCCUCUCGAGUAGCUGGGAUUAGAGGUAUGCACCAUCAUGCCUGGCUAACAUUUAUUUUUAGUAGAGACAGGGCUUCUCCAUGUUGGUCAGGCUGGUCCUGAACUCCCGACCUCAGGUGAUUCACCUGCCUCACCAUCCCAAAGUGCUGGGAUUACAGAGGUAAACCACUGAGCCCAACUGGAACUGUGAUUUUGAUAGUACCCACAAGGCAGGAUUCUCUUAAAAACAGCUAUGCCACCAUGUAUUACUGUCUAUGAAGUUAUCUCCAACACUCAGCUUGCUGAGAGCCUCAGCAUUUCAAGAUUGUGCAGGACUGGCCAGGCACAGUGACUCAUGCCUGUCAUCCCAGCACUUUGGGAGGCCGAGGCGGGCGGAUCACGAGGUCAGGAGAUUGAGACCAGCCUGGCUGACACGGUGAAACCCUUGUCUCUACUAAAUACACAAAAAAAAUUACCGGGCUGUGGUGGCAGGCGCCUGUAGUCCCAGCUACUCAGGAGGCUGAGGCAGAGAAUGGCGUGAACCCGGGAGGUGGAGCUUGCAGUGAGCUGAGAUUGCGCCACAGCACUCCAGCCUGGGUGACAGAGUGAGACUCUGUCUCAAAAACAAAAAAACAAAAUUAGCCGGGCAUGGUGGCGGGCACCUGUAAUCCCAGCUACGUGGGAAGCUGAGGCAGAAUGGCUUGAACCUCGGAGAUGGAAGUAGAGUUGAGCCGUUACCACACCAUUGCAGUCCUGCCUGGGUGACAAGAGACUCCAUCUCAAAGAAAAAAAAAAAUCAAGGAGUAAACUUGUUGGUCUUUGAAUUGUAACUUUGGAGAACCUCCCCGCCACUACCGAAUUCCCCAAAGUCCAGUGUACCAUGUAGGAUUUCACUUGAUCCGCGGAGGAAACCAUGCCCCAAUUACUAGGUUAAAAUCUAUUAAGUGCCGGGCGCGGUGGCUCACACCUGUAAUCCCAGCACUUUGGGAGGCUGAGGGUGGAUCACCUGAGGUGAGGAGUUCGAGACCAGCCUGACCAACACAGUGAAACCCCGUCUCUACUAAAAAUACAAAAAUUAGCCGGGCAUGGUGGCGGCUGCCUGUAAUCCCAGCUACUUGGGAGGCUGAGGCAGGAGAAUCGCUUG